UCAUUGCUCUGUCUCAUGACGCAUGCCAUGAUGCCAGAUGGACAUGAUGAGCCAUACAAAACAACAUCUUUCUCCAUCCUUGUUUAAAUUCUUCCCCCAUUCACUCACUUAGAUCACCCUCUGAGAACUCUUGAUUCAUCUCUUCUUCAUGCAUGGUUUGGGGAGCAGAAAAUCAUAUUGGUAAAAGGGUUGAUCAGUUUGAAGAUUGAAGAAGUUUUGCAGGGGUGGAUCAACAAUGGCAGAAGGUUGCAGAGAGGGGCUUUUGAAGAAGAAGACUUACUAUGAGAAUUGUCCUGGCUGUAAAGUAGACCAAUAUAAAGAGUUGCAACGAGGUUUACCCAUCAGAGAGCUUGUUUCCACAUGGAUUGUUGUGCUUUGUACUGGUCAUGCACGGAGACUGGGAGUGGACUGCAGAGCAAAACAAAUAAUAUAAG